ensembl:lncRNA
GAGGAGGGGAGUUCCUAACUAACCAAUGAAGACCUAGACAACCAGGUGAGGAGGGGAGUUCCUAACUAACCAAUGACGACCUAGACAACCAGGUGAGGAGGGGAGUUCCUAACUAACCAAUGACGACCUUGACAACCAUGUGAGGAGGGGAGUUCCUAACUAACCAAUGAAGACCUAGACAACCAGGUGAGGAGGGGAGAUCCUAACUAACCAAUGACGACCUUGACAACCAGGUGAGGAGGGGAGUUCCUAACUAACCAAUGAAGACCUAGACAACCAGGUGAGGAGGGGAGUUCCUAACUAACCAAUGACGACCUAGACAACCAGGUGAGGAGGGGUGUUCCUAACUAAUCAGUGACCUUACUCGAUCACUCAAGUACAAACGAGGAGCAAAAACCCACAGACACUCGGCCCAUAGACAUAUAAUGGAACGAGUCUGACACCUGUGGUAAAGGUAGACAGCUUUAUUGAGUGCUGGGCAUAUAAUCCUACCACCAGAGGGCGUUGUGGAGCCAACUCACCCCAAGCAUAACUGUCUGUGUGCAUUAUCCACAUGAGUUGGCUAUUGGUUGUGGAAACUCUCAUCUUAACAUGCAUACGCCUGUAAUCUAGUCUCUUAUCUGGAUAUUGAGCAGUAUAUGGAAAGCAAGCCUACUCACAACCUCUAGAACUCUGUUGAGUAGCAGUACAGUCCCAGUAACCUCCACUACAGUCCCAGUAACCUCCACUAACAGUACAGUCCCAGUAACCUCCACUACAGUCCCAGUAAUCUCCACUAACAGUACAGUCCCAGUAACCUACACUACAGUCCCAGUAACCUCCACUACAGUCCCAGUAACGUCCACUACAGUCCCAGUAACCUCCACUACAGUCCCAGUAACCUCCACUAACAGUACAGUCCCAGUAACCUCCACUACAGUCCCAGUAACCUCCACUAACAGUCCCAGUAACCUCCACUACAGUCCCAGUAACCUCCACUACAGUCCCAGUAACCUCCACUAACAGUACAGUCCCAGUAACCUCCACUACAGUCCCAGUAACCUCCACUAACAUCCCAGUAACCUCCACUACAGUCCC